rnacentral:sRNA from 1 species
CAAAGCUGCAGUAUGCACUACUCUAAAGUAUGUUUGGCAAAGUACCCCAUACAAUGAUGAACCUUGGUAUAACCAAAAGACUCAGAAAGAGCGAGAGACCUUGAAGGUUUUAAAAAUGUUCACCGACUUCCUAUCAUUUAUGGUUCUAUUCAACUUUAUCAUUCCUGUCUCCAUGUACGUCACAGUAGAAAUGCAGAAAUUCUUGGGCUCCUUCUUCAUCUCAUGGGAUAAGGACUUUUAUGAUGAAGAAAUUAAUGAAGGAGCCCUGGUUAACACAUCAGACCUUAAUGAAGAACUUGGUCAGGUGGAUUAUGUAUUUACAGAUAAGACUGGAACACUCACUGAAAACAGCAUGGAAUUCAUUGAAUGCUGCAUAGAUGGCCACAAAUAUAAAGGUGUAACUCAAGAGGUUGAUGGAUUAUCUCAAACUGAUGGACCUUUAACAUAUUUUGACAAAGCAGAUAAGAAUCGAGAAGAGCUGUUUCUACGUGCCUUGUGUUUAUGUCAUACUGUAGAAAUCAAAACAAACGAUGCUGUUGAUGGAGCUACAGAAUCAGCUGAAUUAACCUAUAUCUCCUCUUCACCAGAUGAAAUAGCUUUGGUGAAAGGAGCUAAAAAGUACGGGUUCACAUUUUUAGGAAAUCGAAAUGGAUAUAUGAGAGUAGAGAACCAAAGAAAAGAAAUAGAAGAAUAUGAACUUCUUCACACCUUAAACUUUGAUGCCGUCCGGCGACGUAUGAGUGUAAUUGUGAAGACUCAAGAAGGAGACAUACUUCUCUUUUGUAAAGGAGCAGACUCGGCAGUUUUUCCCAGAGUGCAAAAUCAUGAAAUUGAGUUAACUAAAGUCCAUGUGGAACGUAAUGCAAUGGAUGGGUAUCGGACACUCUGUGUAGCCUUCAAAGAAAUUGCUCCGGAUGAUUAUGAAAGAAUUAACAGACAGCUCAUAGAGGCAAAAAUGGCCUUACAAGACAGAGAAGAAAAAAUGGAAAAAGUUUUCGAUGAUAUUGAGACAAACAUGAAUUUAAUUGGAGCCACUGCAGUUGAAGACAAGCUACAAGAUCAAGCUGCAGAGACCAUUGAAGCUCUGCAUGCAGCAGGCCUGAAAGUCUGGGUGCUCACUGGGGACAAGAUGGAGACAGCUAAAUCCACAUGCUAUGCCUGCCGCCUUUUCCAGACCAACACCGAGCUCUUAGAACUAACCACAAAAACCAUUGAAGAAAGUGAAAGGAAAGAAGAUCGAUUACAUGAAUUAUUGAUAGAAUAUCGUAAGAAAUUGCUGCAUGAGUUUCCUAAAAGUACUAGAAGCUUUAAAAAAGCAUGGACAGAACAUCAGGAAUAUGGAUUAAUCAUAGAUGGCUCCACAUUGUCACUCAUACUAAAUUCUAGUCAAGACUCUAGUUCAAACAAUUACAAAAGCAUUUUCCUACAAAUAUGUAUGAAGUGUACUGCAGUGCUCUGCUGUCGGAUGGCACCGUUACAGAAAGCCCAGAUUGUCAGAAUGGUGAAGAAUUUAAAAGGCAGCCCAAUAACUCUGUCGAUAGGUGAUGGUGCCAAUGAUGUUAGUAUGAUCUUGGAAUCCCAUGUGGGAAUAGGCAAAGAAGGUCGCCAAGCAGCUAGGAAUAGCGAUUAUUCUGUUCCAAAGUUUAAACACUUAAAGAAACUGCUAUUGGCUCAUGGACAUCUAUAUUAUGUGAGAAUAGCACACCUUGUACAGUACUUCUUCUAUAAGAACCUUUGUUUCAUUUUGCCACAGUUUUUGUACCAGUUCUUCUGUGGAUUCUCACAACAGCCACUGUAUGAUGCUGCUUACCUUACAAUGUACAAUAUCUGCUUCACAUCCUUGCCCAUCCUGGCCUAUAGUCUACUGGAACAGCACAUCAACAUUGACACUCUGAGCUCAGAUCCCCGAUUGUAUAUGAAAAUUUCUGGCAAUGCCAUGCUACAGUUGGGCCCCUUCUUAUAUUGGACAUUUCUGGCUGCCUUUGAAGGGACAGUGUUCUUCUUUGGGACUUACUUUCUUUUUCAGACUGCAUCACUAGAAGAAAAUGGAAAGGUAUACGGAAACUGGACUUUUGGAACCAUUGUUUUUACAGUCUUAGUAUUCACUGUAACCCUGAAGCUUGCCUUGGAUACCCGAUUCUGGACGUGGAUAAAUCACUUUGUGAUUUGGGGUUCUUUAGCCUUCUAUGUAUUUUUCUCAUUCUUCUGGGGAGGAAUUAUUUGGCCUUUUCUCAAGCAACAGAGAAUGUAUUUUGUAUUUGCCCAAAUGCUGUCUUCUGUAUCCACAUGGUUGGCUAUAAUUCUUCUAAUAUUUAUCAGCCUUUUCCCUGAGAUUCUUCUGAUAGUAUUAAAGAAUGUAAAAAGAAGAAGUGCCAGGGUAACGAAACGCCUCCCUUCCUCAGGAACAUCUACUAUCUUCAUGCUUUCUCAAACUUCCAGCAAUCACAGUUUCUCUUGGAGUGAAUAAGAGAAAUCUGAGCUGUAGAAGGGCAUCUGACUCAUUAUCCGCCAGACCUUCAGUCAGACCUCUUCUUUUACGAACAUUCUCAGACGAAUCUAAUGUAUUGUAACAGAAUCCGAAUCUUGAACUGCCUAUGUUAUUGUCCUACAAGCAUACUGACAGUGGUUACAGCUAAAAAAGAAAGCAUGAAGAAACAACUACAAAAAGUUAUCAUCUCAGGAUACUUGAUAUGCAACACACUAAACCACUCUCAUGUCUAGAGUUCACAAUAAAUGUUCAUGAAAAUACC